AUUACUAUUCAAGAAUUGGCAUUAACAUUUCAUUUGUAUGUCUGCUAUAGUUUCUGUUAUCCCAUAGGCAUGUGUGUUUCUUGUUUUCCUUCAGUUUUAUGCUAAACUGUACUUCGUAAAGACCGACAUUGAUACUGAAAAAUAUACAAUAAUCUGUUUAUAAGGCAUUUGGUUUCUUUUAAAACGUGAUUAAGUAACGAGAAUGGAUUUUUUGAAAUCGCAAAUAUGAUGCCGCAUUGGAUGACAGUUACCCUUCGAUGUUGGAUUGCAUUUAUUGCAUUUACAAAUUUCGGAGCUGCAUUUCGUUGCUUUACUCAGGAUAAUUUUGUUCAUUCAAAAUUUUUUGCCAUUGAUUCUCAGUUAUGGAAGUCUACUGGUUUUAAAAGUAAAGUUACCUUCUCCAUACCAGCGGCAAACCAUCUAGAACCCUGGAUGAUACAGUCAAAAGUGGUUAAUCCGGACUCUUCGGAUCUUCGGCAAUUCCGGAUUAUAGAUCAUCAGUUUAAAUCUGAAGGACCUGUACUUGAACACAUGUAUGGAUUUUGGUCACUUAUUAAUGGCAUUGUACUUUUAAAUUGCUUCUUUUUUAUUGACGAGAAGAAGAUCAUCGCUUUAGCAAUAUGUGUGAUAGUCAUUUAUUUAUGUUUCUUUGGCAUGGAAGCAUUCUUUCAUAAAACAGUAUUAAUCCAUGGUCCAACUAUUUAUCCAUGUGCACUAAGUGCAUUGACACUAAUAUGGUUGCUGGUUAGUUUGAAGUAUCUUUAUAGUCCACCUAAGGAAGAAGCCGAUGAAAAUGAGGUUUUAAGGAAAAAAUUUCCUUUUAAAAGUAUAUCUAAAAAGAUACGAUGACUUAGAUUUAAAUAUUUUUUAGUGGGUAUAAAAUCAUUUUGGUGUGUCUUCAUUCAUGGUUAAUUAACAAUACUCUUUCUGUAUUCUUUUUACAGAUUUAAAUUGAUGAUCUGUUAUCCGGAAAAAUCCCAAAUCCAGAAUCGCCGAAGUCCCGACCAGUCCGGAUUUCGGACUUUGUACUGUAGUACUUUCGUCUUCUUUAGAUUUGAAUAUCAAAGUCUAAGAACUGUUUUGAAGGGCAAUGCAUGGAUAAACAGGAAUUUAAUUAUAUGAGAAAAUUCAGUAAUUAAAACUCAUAUGUAUGCAUAACAUGAGAAUUAACCCCAAGAAUGUUAACUUAAAGUUAAUUACAGAUCUUUAUUUGGUUCACAUCCAACUGGAUUAUUACAAGCAUUUAAAUUCUUUAUUUUGUUAUUAAUUAUAUCCACUUCUCUCUCCUGUAUUCCAUGAAGGUACUUGUGAUAUAAAUCAUGCUGAACUACAAGAAGACUGCACCUUUCUAAAAGCAAUGAUCCAACAUAAUUGCUUUCUGUUUCCUAGAAAAAAAUAAGUAACAAUCUACAAGUCAUUUUUUAAACUACAGUUAUGUGUUGAUAUAGGUAUUCAUUUUUUAAAUUCUACUGAUGUAAAAUUAUUAAAUUAUUAAACCUUAUUUCAUUGGGUA